UUAUGAGCGCUGUAAACCUGCUGAGCCUGGCUGGGUGUCUGAAAAACAUCACACUUCAAAAUAAAAAUGUUGAAGUGCAAGACGUGAUCGACUGGUAUGUUCUUCAGCGAACAAGAACACAGUUUGAAAGGUUGCAAGAAGGACUCCGUUCUCUCUGUGUAAUGGAUUCUAUGAAGGCCCACCCUGAAACCUUCAAACCUAUUUUCUGUCAAUCGACAGAGAAGCUGACUGCUGAUGUGCUUGAAGAGCUAUUCAAAGAGCAGCGAUCUGACUGUGGGAGUAACAAGUUUGAGAGAGAAAAUGAAGCAGUAUGUCAUUGGAGGGAUUAUCUCUUGCAUGUAGAGAUGGGGAUUUGUGGAGUUACCCUGGAGGGCAUCCUUGUCUUUGCCACAGGAAGUGACAGUGUACCAGCAUUGGGCUUCAACCCUGCUCCAACUGUUGAAUUUUUGCAUGAUGGUUCACGGUUUCCACUUGCAAACACAUGUUCCAACAUAUUAAGGGUACCAUGCAGGCAUUCAUACGAGUCCUUCAGGGAUGAUAUGGACUUUGGAAUUAAAAAUUCCCCAGGCUUUGGAAGGGCAUAAACAAAUUCCUUUGCUUACCGUACCUGUAGUCAAAGGGCACAAGUAUGUUCGAUCCUAAGAACAAUGUUAUGCAUGCCAAAGUGCUGCUAGAAUUUUUGUUUGUCAUUUUUGUUAUCUAUAAUUCUUUGUACACUUAAAUUUAGCAAGUGAGUCACCUUUGGUUGAGAAUUCUUACCUGUAGUUAUUAUUAUUGCAGAUAUUUAGCAGACACCUUUAUUAAGCACUACAAUUCAAUUUACUAAAAUAUUAAAAUGUAAUAGUUCAAUCUGUCAAUAUUAACAUCAGUGCUGAAAUGUUACAAGCCUUUAAAUAAAAGUAUAGGCUGGAUCUUUUCCCUCCUAAGGAUUUUUGGUAAUAGAGAAUUCUUAACAGUUGUUAAGUUGUUCCAAGAAAGAACAUUUUACUUUUCCUCCUUAUUAAUAAACACUGUUUGCAUUUC